UAGAUUGUGAAUCGGUUGCCUCCUGUGCUGGCUUUUGCAAGUGCACGGUGGUGACUUUCCUCCACCCCCUGUGAACCUUUGGCCUCUUGCUGGCCUUGGCUGGCAGAGGAUUUUUACACAAACUCGAAUGUAAUGAGAAAUACUGUUGUGCGCAAGCACGAAUGUA
rnacentral:misc_RNA from 1 species